UAACACGCGGGCAAUCUGCCCUUCACUCUGGGACAAGCCCUGGAAACGGGGUCUAAUACCGGAUAACACUCUGUCCCGCAUGGGACGGGGUUGAAAGCUCCGGCGGUGAAGGAUGAGCCCGCGGCCUAUCAGCUUGUUGGUGGGGUAAUGGCCUACCAAGGCGACGACGGGUAGCCGGCCUGAGAGGGCGACCGGCCACACUGGGACUGAGACACGGCCCAGACUCCUACGGGAGGCAGCAGUGGGGAAUAUUGCACAAUGGGCGAAAGCCUGAUGCAGCGACGCCGCGUGAGGGAUGACGGCCUUCGGGUUGUAAACCUCUUUCAGCAGGGAAGAAGCGAAAGUGACGGUACCUGCAGAAGAAGCGCCGGCUAACUACGUGCCAGCAGCCGCGGUAAUACGUAGGGCGCAAGCGUUGUCCGGAAUUAUUGGGCGUAAAGAGCUCGUAGGCGGCUUGUCACGUCGGAUGUGAAAGCCCCGGGGCUUAACCCCGGGUCUGCAUUCGAUACGGGCUAGCUAGAGUGUGGUAGGGGAGAUCGGAAUUCCUGGUGUAGCGGUGAAAUGCGCAGAUAUCAGGAGGAACACCGGUGGCGAAGGCGGAUCUCUGGGCCAUUACUGACGCUGAGGAGCGAAAGCGUGGGGAGCGAACAGGAUUAGAUACCCUGGUAGUCCACGCCGUAAACGUUGGGAACUAGGUGUUGGCGACAUUCCACGUCGUCGGUGCCGCAGCUAACGCAUUAAGUUCCCCGCCUGGGGAGUACGGCCGCAAGGCUAAAACUCAAAGGAAUUGACGGGGGCCCGCACAAGCAGCGGAGCAUGUGGCUUAAUUCGACGCAACGCGAAGAACCUUACCAAGGCUUGACAUAUACCGGAAAGCAUCAGAGAUGGUGCCCCCCUUGUGGUCGGAAUACCGGGUGGGGCAUGGCUGGCCGCCAGCUCCGGGCCCGGGGAAAUGUUGGGGUAAGUCCCGCAACGAGCGCAACCCUUGUUCUGUGUUGCCAGCAUGCCCUUCGGGGUGAUGGGGACACUCACAGGAGACUGCCGGGGUCAACUCGGAGGAAGGUGGGGACGACGUCAAGUCAUCAUGCCCCUUAUGUCUUGGGCUGCACACGUGCUACAAUGGCCGGUACAAUGAGCUGCGAUGCCGCGAGGCGGAGCGAAUCUCAAAAAGCCGGUCUCAGUUCGGAUUGGGGUCUGCAACUCGACCCCAUGAAGUCGGAGUUGCUAGUAAUCGCAGAUCAGCAUUCAGUCGGUGGAUAC
rnacentral:rRNA from 1 species